GACGAACGCUGGCGGCGUGCCUAAUACAUGCAAGUUGAGCGCUGAAGGUUGGUACUUGUACCAACUGGAUGAGCAGCGAACGGGUGAGUAACGCGUGGGGAAUCUGCCUUUGAGCGGGGGACAACAUUUGGAAACGAAUGCUAAUACCGCAUAAAAACUUUAAACACAAGUUUUAAGUUUGAAAGAUGCAAUUGCAUCACUCAAAGAUGAUCCCGCGUUGUAUUAGCUAGUUGGUGAGGUAAAGGCUCACCAAGGCGAUGAUACAUAGCCGACCUGAGAGGGUGAUCGGCCACAUUGGGACUGAGACACGGCCCAAACUCCUACGGGAGGCAGCAGUAGGGAAUCUUCGGCAAUGGACGAAAGUCUGACCGAGCAACGCCGCGUGAGUGAAGAAGGUUUUCGGAUCGUAAAACUCUGUUGGUAGAGAAGAACGUUGGUGAGAGUGGAAAGCCCAUCAAGUGACGGUAACUACACAGAAAGGGACGGCUAACUACGUG
rnacentral:rRNA from 1 species